GAGUUUGAUCCUGGCUCAGAAUGAACGCUGGCGGCGUGCUUAACACAUGCAAGUCGUACGAGAACUCUUCUGCUUGCAGAAGAUAGUAAAGUGGCGUACGGGUGAGUAACGCGUGGGUAAUCUACCUCCGAAUUGGGGAUAACAUUGCGAAAGCGAUGCUAAUACCGGAUAAUAUCUCGAGGUCUUCGGGCCUCAAGAUCAAAGGUGGCCUCUACAUGUAAGCUACCGUUUGGAGAUGAGCUCGCGUACCAUUAGCUUGUUGGUAGGGUAACGGCCUACCAAGGCUACGAUGGUUAGCUGGUCUGAGAGGAUGAUCAGCCACACUGGAACUGACACACGGUCCAGACUCCUACGGGAGGCAGCAGUGAGGAAUUUUGCGCAAUGGGGGAAACCCUGACGCAGCAACGCCGCGUGAGUGAUGAAGGCUUUCGGGUCGUAAAGCUCUGUCAAGUGGGAAGAACCUGUCCGAUGCGAAUACCUUCGGACACUGACGGUACCACUGAAGGAAGCACCGGCUAACUCCGUGCCAGCAGCCGCGGUAAUACGGGGGGUGCAAGCGUUAUUCGGAAUCAUUGGGCGUAAAGGGCGCGUAGGCGGCCUCUUAAGUCAGAUGUGAAAGCCCGGGGCUUAACCCCGGAAGUGCAUUUGAAACUAAGAAGCUUGAGUAUGGGAGAGGGAAGUGGAAUUCCUGGUGUAGAGGUGAAAUUCGUAGAUAUCAGGAGGAACACCGGUGGCGAAGGCGACUUCCUGGACCAAUACUGACGCUGAGGCGCGAAGGCGUGGGUAGCAAACAGGAUUAGAUACCCUGGUAGUCCACGCAGUAAACGUUGUUCACUAGGUGUAGCGGGUAUUGACCCCUGCUGUGCCGCAGUUAACGCAUUAAGUGAACCGCCUGGGAAGUACGGCCGCAAGGUUAAAACUCAAAGGAAUUGACGGGGGCCCGCACAAGCGGUGGAGCAUGUGGUUUAAUUCGA
rnacentral:rRNA from 1 species